UAAAGUGUUAUCACAUUUGUGGUAGUUUCUGUAAUUUUAUAAUUAAUGGUUUGAAUAUUAGUUCAGGGGUAAUUAACCUGUUUCCACCAUCCUUGCACUAAAAUAUUUAAUAUAGAUGUCAGGAGUAAUUGGGGGUCACCAGCAGGGGGCAGUGUGGCGCUUAUUGUGUUCCGGGGGGGCUUUACGUCAGUUUGGUCCGCUUUGCAGUUUUCCUCUUUCUGCUGAGCGAGAUGAAAAACGGACGCAGAGUUUGCCCUGUCUCACUUAUUUCUCCUGUUUCCAGGCGAAUCAAGACCCCAUCAGGACAGGCUCAGACACCCUCCUGCAGAGCCAGGAUCUGUCUCAGCCUUGAGCCAUGCAAGCUGUGCUGUUGGAAACAAAGCUCCAGCGUUCAGUCUAGUGUAUGUCACAACAACCCAUCAGGGCCAACCUCGUCAAAUACUGAGGCAGGGAAUGAGACUCGACAAUCAACUAUCUUCAAGCAACCAACCCAAAGUGUCUUUCCAUCUUUCCAUGCUCUGAUUUUCACAGGUAUUAUUGAUAUUAUUGACCAUUAUUAAGUCCUAAAGUGCUAUGGGUGAAAUCAUACCAGCUACAAAGCUCAGUCAACCAUCGGAAUGGACUGGUGUCCAAGAGUUUGGAGUUGUCCGUCACAGAAUAAAGUGCCAAACUACGUCUAUCAGCGACUCUGGAUUCUGUGCUGCAGCUCCUCUAAUUAUGUCUCCCACCUUGAUCUGUUUACCUGUCUGGGAGAGCGGAGGAUUGAAGUUAAUGCCUGCGAGUCAGUGUUGAUUGGGGAGCAGCUGUGAAGCCCAGGGGAAGCUGGAAGCCUAAUGAAAUCUUUAUCAAGGACAUUCGCUGCAAGAGACCACCUGGGGCUAAUUAGCCUCAACUCUCAACUAGAGCAAAGAGAGAGAGAGGCCACAGAUUAAUAAGCCAAAUGUUCAUACAAGUUUAAGAGUUAAAAAGGAACUCAUUUAAAAGUAAUGAAUGAUAUGUGCUGGGGACAGAACAGUAACCUGGAGGGCAGGACUGCCCUUUACAAGUCGCCAAUGUAAAAGAUACAAAUAGUAGGUGUGCACUGCUUGAUAAUGAGCAGGAGAUUGGGAAGUAAGUAAUCAGCAGGCUGGUGACAAACGGGCAGGGCUGGCCAAAACAUCAAUACGAAUGUCAGUUACAGCAUCUCAAGCUCUUCCUUGUUCUGCAUCUCCCCUUAUGUCACUGCUAUUCUCACCUUUUUCAACCAGUUGGCAGGUAUCGGCAGCAGGGCUCUCUGUGAUGAUAUCACAAACAUUGAUUGGCUGAGGCUGUUGUUGCCCCAGAGCUAUCAUACAAAAUGUUGGUCUUAGCACAACAGCCACUUGGCAAAAUCAGGACGGGCAGAGAGAGAGGGUGGGAGGGAGAAAUGUCUCUUUAUGUAUUGAAAA